UUGGACAACGAAACAGCAUGUUUAACUUCGCUCAGCUACCAGGCCUACUACUAAACGCAUCUCACGUGCGCGGUAUGCCGGUGGGCGAAAUCCAGAGCUGAUUUCACGUCACACCUCAUAUAAAAAACCCGCGCCGAUGCGCGGGUUUUUUU
rfam:Dickeya dadantii 3937, complete genome.